rnacentral:rRNA from 1 species
CGAGAAGCGAACCUGCGAAGGCAAGCGGAUCUCUUAAANCCGUUCUCAGUUCGGACUGUAGGCUGCAACUCGCCUACACGAAGCUGGAAUCGCUAGUAAUCGCGGAUCAGCACGCCGCGGUGAAUACGUUCCCGGGCCUUGUACACACCGCCCGUCACACCAUGAGAGUCUGUAACACCCAAAGCCGGUGGGAUAACCUUUAUAGGAGUCAGCCGUCUAAGGUAGGACAGAUGAUUAGGGUGAAGUCGUAACAAGGUAAC